rnacentral:miRNA from 1 species
AGUUCUCAGGCCCGCUGUGGUG